rnacentral:rRNA from 1 species
UACGGAGGAUCCAAGCGUUAUCCGGAUUUAUUGGGUUUAAAGGGCGCGUAGGCGGCUUGCUCCGUCAGAUGUGAAAUUCCUGGGCUUAACCUGGGGGCUGCAUUUGAUACGUGUGGGCUUGAGUGCGGAAGAGGGUCGUGGAAUUCCCAGUGUAGAGGUGAAAUUCGUAGAUAUUGGGAAGAACACCGGUGGCGAAGGCGGCGACCUGGUCCGUGACUGACGCUGAGGCGCGAAAGCGUGGGGAGCAAACAGG